rnacentral:rRNA from 1 species
CCUACGGGUGGCAGCAGUGAGGAAUAUUGGUCAAUGGACGCAAGUCUGAACCAGCCAUGCCGCGUGCAGGAAGACGGCUCUAUGAGUUGUAAACUGCUUUUGUACGAGGGUAAACUCAGAUACGCGUAUCUGUCUGAAAGUAUCGUACGAAUAAGGAUCGGCUAACUCCGUGCCAGCAGCCGCGGUAAUACGGAGGAUUCGAGCGUUAUCCGGAUUUAUUGGGUUUAAAGGGUGCGUAGGCGGUCGGUUAAGUUAGCGGUGAAAUCCCGAGGCUCAACUUCGGAAUUGCCGUUGAUACUGGGAGGCUAGAGAGUAGUUGAGGUAGGCGGAAUGCAUGGUGUAGCGGUGAAAUGCUUAGAGAUCACACAGAACACCGAUUGCGAAGGCAGCCUACCAAGCUAUGUCUGACGCUGAGGCACGAAAGCGUGGGGAGCAAACAGGAUUAGAUACCCUGGUAGUC